GCUUGGAGAGCUCAGUCAGUAGAGCAUGAUACUCAUAAUCUCAGGGUUGUGGGUUUGAGCCCCACACUGAGCG